UUUGCUUGUAAACUUGCUCAAUAAAAAUCAAUCGUUUCGAUUUGCGGCUUGAAAGUUAUCAAGCGUAUAGUAACAAAUUUCAGAAAUAACCAUAUUCAUGAACGUGACUAGCGGUGGUAGGUUACAAUUUUUGAUUAAUCUCACCGAAUAAUUGAUUUGGUAUAACAAAUUCACUUAAUCCAAAUCGAUAGGCUACAGCGACAGAUGUUGGCAAAUGUAGUAGGUAUAUAAGAAAAGCAAAUCAAAUUAGUUUUAUAAGUACAAUUAACUUCAUCUGUAAAUCAAGUUCAGAGUUUCGUGGUGGAAAAAAUGAGAUUGUUACAUUUCAUGUUAAUAUUGAUUCUAUCAGUUUUGCAAAUAGAAAUUGCAAACUCAGUUCGUUUGGAGGGAAACUCUCACGUUCGUUCUAUCAGUCGACGCUGUAAUGAUGCCGAGUGCAAUAAUGGUUGCCGUAAUGGGGGAAAAGCCAGAGGAAACUGCGAAAUCGGCAGAUGCUUCUGUUCCUACAUCCCUUAGCGAAAAAGCCCUAAAAUGAGAUGGUUCACUGAAGCCGCUUUGUUAAUAAAGUGUCGAACACUGUA